rnacentral:rRNA from 1 species
CAGGGAUUGCCUCAGUAACGGCGAGUGAAGCGGCAUAAGCUCAAAUUUGAAAUCUGGCCCCUUCGGGGUCCGAGUUGUAAUUUGUAGAGGAUGUUUCGGGUACGGCGGCGGUCUAAGUCCCUUGGAACGGGGUGUCACAGAGGGUGAGAAUCCCGUAUGCGACCGGCGACCAAGCCCAUGUGAAGCUCCUUCGACGAGUCGAGUUGUUUGGGAAUGCAGCUCAAAAUGGGAGGUAAAUUUCUUCUAAAGCUAAAUACCGGCCAGAGACCGAUAGCGCACAAGUAGAGUGAUCGAAAGAUGAAAAGCACUUUGGAAAGAGAGUCAAACAGUACGUGAAAUUGUUGAAAGGGAAGCGCUUGCAACCAGACCUGUCCGCGGGCGAUCAACCUCUGUUCUCAGGGGUGCACUCGUCCGCGAUCAGGCCAGCAUCGGUUCGGGCGGCCGGAUAAAGGCCUUGGGAAUGUAGCUCCUCUCGGGGAGUCUUAUAGCCCUCGGGUGCAAUGCGGUCAGCCCGGACCGAGGACCGCGCUUCGGCUAGGAUGCUGGCGUAAUGGUUGUAAGCGACCCGUCUUGAAACACGGNNCAAGGAGUCUAACAUCUAUGCGAGUGUUUGGGUGUCAAGCCCAUGCGCGUAAUGAAAGUGAACGGAGGUGAGAACCCGUACGGGCGCAUCAUCGACCGAUCCAGAUGUCUUCGGAUGGAUUUGAGUACGAGCAUAGCUGGUCUGACCCGAAAGAUGGUGAACUACACUUGAAUAGGGUGAAGCCAGAGGAAACUCUGGUGGAGGCUCGCAGCGGUUCUGACGUGCAAAUCGAUCGUCAAAUUUGAGUGUAGGGGCGAAAGACUAAUCGAACCAUCUAGUAGCUGGUUCCUGCCGAAGA